GGUCCCAUAGUGUAGUGGCUAUCAUAUCUGCUUUACAUGCAGAAGAUUCUGGGUUCGAGCCUCAGUUGAACCA